CUACGGGGGGCUCCAGUGGGGAAUAUUGGGCAAUGGGCGCAAGCCUGACCCAGCAACGCCGCGUGAGGGAAGAAUGUCUUCGGAUUGUAAACCUCUGUCCUUGGGGACGAAAAAAAUGACGGUACCCAAGGAGGAAGCUCCGGCUAACUACGUGCCAGCAGCCGCGGUAAUACGUAGGGAGCAAGCGUUGUCCGGAAUUAUUGGGCGUAGAGGGUGCGUAGGCGGCGCUGUAAGUCAGAUGUGAAAUCCCCGGGCUUAACUCGGGAGUUGCAUUUGAAACUACAGUGCUUGAGUAAAGAAGGGGUAAGUGGAAUUCCUAGUGUAGCGGUGGUAUGCGUAGAUAUUAGGAGGAACACCAGUGGCGAAGGCGACUUACUGGUCUUUUACUGACGCUGAGGCACGAAAGCGUGGGGAGCAAACAGGAUUAGAUACCCCCGUAGUC
rnacentral:rRNA from 1 species